GGAAGAGGUGGCUAACUCCGUGCCAGCAGCCGCGGUAAUACGGAGACCUCGAGCGUUACUCGGAUUUACUGGGCGUAAAGGGUGAGCAGGCGGCCAAGUGUGUCAGGUGUGAAAUCCCGGGGCUUAACCCCGGAACUGCGCCUGAAACUACUUGGCUAGAGUCUCGGAGAGGACAGUGGAAUUCUAGGUGUAGCGGUGAAAUGCGUAGAUAUCUAGAGGAACACCAGUGGCGAAGGCGACUGUCUGGACGAGUACUGACGCUCAAUCACGAAAGCGUGGGUAGCGAAAGGGAUUAGAUACCCCUGUAGUCCACGCCGUAAACGUUGUGCACUAAGUUUCGGAGGAUUCGACCCCUUCGGAGCUCAAGCUAACGCG
rnacentral:rRNA from 1 species